GAUGAACGCUGGCGGCGUGCCUAAUACAUGCAAGUCGAGCGAACGGACGAGAAGCUUGCUUCUCUGAUGUUAGCGGCGGACGGGUGAGUAACACGUGGAUAACCUACCUAUAAGACUGGGAUAACUUCGGGAAACCGGAGCUAAUACCGGAUAAUAUUUUGAACCGCAUGGUUCAAAAGUAAAAGACGGUCUUGCUGUCACUUAUAGAUGGAUCCGCGCUGCAUUAGCUAGUUGGUAAGGUAACGGCUUACCAAGGCAACGAUGCAUAGCCGACCUGAGAGGGUGAUCGGCCACACUGGAACUGAGACACGGUCCAGACUCCUACGGGAGGCAGCAGUAGGGAAUCUUCCGCAAUGGGCGAAAGCCUGACGGAGCAACGCCGCGUGAGUGAUGAAGGUCUUCGGAUCGUAAAACUCUGUUAUUAGGGAAGAACAUAUGUGUAAGUAACUGUGCACAUCUUACGGUACCUAAUCAGAAAGCCACGGCUAACUACGUG
rnacentral:rRNA from 1 species